AGAGUUUGAUCAUGGCUCAGGAUGAACGCUGGCGGUAUGCCUAACACAUGCAAGUCGAACGAUGUCUUCGGACAUAGUGGCGGACGGGUGAGUAACGCGUGAGAAUCUGCCUCUAGGAUGGGGAUAACGGUUGGAAACGACCGCUAACACCCAAUAUGCCGUAAGGUGAAAAAUUUAUUGCCUGGAGAGGAGCUCGCGUCUGAUUAGCUAGUUGGUGGGGUAAGAGCUCACCAAGGCUUCGAUCAGUAGCUGGUCUGAGAGGAUGAGCAGCCACACUGGGACUGAGACACGGCCCAGACUCCUACGGGAGGCAGCAGUGGGGAAUUUUCCGCAAUGGGCGAAAGCCUGACGGAGCAAUACCGCGUGAGGGAGGAAUGCCUUUGGGUUGUAAACCUCUUUUCUCAGGGAAGAAGAUCUGACGGUACCUGAGGAAUAAGUAUCGGCUAACUCCGUGCCAGCAGCCGCGGUAAUACGGAGGAUGCAAGCGUUAUCCGGAAUCAUUGGGCGUAAAGCGUCCGCAGGUGGUUUCCAAAGUCUGCUGUUAAAGACUGGAGCUCAACUCCGGAACGGCGGUGGAAACUUGGAAACUAGAGUUCGGUAGGGGUAGCAGGAAUUCCCAGUGUAGCGGUGAAAUGCGUAGAUAUUGGGAAGAACAUCGGUGGCGAAGGCGUGCUACUGGACCGUAACUGACACUCAGGGACGAAAGCUAGGGGAGCGAAAGGGAUUAGAUACCCCUGUAGUCCUAGCUGUAAACGAUGGAAACUAGGUGUGGCUUGUAUCGACCC
rnacentral:rRNA from 1 species